rnacentral:rRNA from 1 species
GUCGAACGGAGAUACGCGCUGAAUGACGAAGCUUGCUUUUGAAUUCUUGUGUAUCUUAGUGGCGGACGGGUGAGUAACGCGUGAGCAACCUGCCUUUCAGAGGGGGAUAACGUUUGGAAACGAACGCUAAUACCGCAUGAGACUACGGUACUACAUGGUACAGUGGCCAAAGGAGCAAUCCGCUGAAAGAUGGGCUCGCGUCCGAUUAGAUAGUUGGCGGGGUAACGGCCCACCAAGUCGACGAUCGGUAGCCGGACUGAGAGGUUGAACGGCCACAUUGGGACUGAGACACGGCCCAGACUCCUACGGGAGGCAGCAGUGAGGGAUAUUGGUCAAUGGGGGAAACCCUGAACCAGCAACGCCGCGUGAGGGAAGACGGUUUUCGGAUUGUAAACCUCUGUCCUCUGUGAAGAUAAUGACGGUAGCAGAGGAGGAAGCUCCGGCUAACUACGUGCCAGCAGCCGCGGUAAUACGUAGGGAGCAAGCGAUGUCCGGAUUUACUGGGUGUAAAGGGUGCGUAGGCGGCCCUGCAAGUCAGAAGUGAAAUCCAUGGGCUUAACCCGUGAACUGCUUUUGAAACUGUAGGGCUUGAGUGAAGUAGAGGCAGGCGGAAUUCCCGGUGUAGCGGUGAAAUGCGUAGAGAUCGGGAGGAACACCAGUGGCGAAGGCGGCCUGCUGGGCUUUAACUGACGCUGAAGCACGAAAGCGUGGGUAGCAAACAGGAUUAGAUACCCUGGUAGUCCACGCCGUAAACGAUGAUUUACUAGGUGUGGGGGGUCUGACCCCCUCCGUGCCGG